rnacentral:rRNA from 1 species
GAAAGGUGCAAAUGCACCACUAUCAGAUGUGCUCGCGGCCUAUCAGCUUGAUGGUGAGGUAAUGGCUCACCAUGGCUUCGACGGGUAGCCGGCCUGAGAGGGUGACCGGCCACACUGGGACUGAGACACGGCCCAGACUCCUACGGGAGGCAGCAGUGGGGAAUAUUGGACAAUGGGCGGAAGCCUGAUCCAGCAACGCCGCGUGAGGGAUGACGGCCUUCGGGUUGUAAACCUCUUUCAGCAGGGACGAAGCGCAAGUGACGGUACCUGCAGAAGAAGCACCGGUGUCGACGCGGCC